rnacentral:rRNA from 1 species
UAAGACAGAGGGUGCGAACGUUGCUCGGAAUUACUGGGCGUAAAGCGUGUGUAGGCGGCCACGCAAGUCGGAUGUGAAAGCCCUGGGCUCAACCCAGGAAGUGCACCCGAUACUGCGACGGCUUGAGUACCGGAGAGGUUGGUGGAAUUCUCGGUGUAGAGGUGAAAUUCGUAGAUAUCGAGAGGAACACCGGUGGCGAAGGCGGCCAACUGGACGAGUACUGACGCUGAGACACGAAAGCGUGGGGAGCAAACAGGAUUAGAUACCCUGGUAGUCCACGCCGUAAACGAUGGAUGCUAGGUGUCGCGGGCUUUGACUCCUGCGGUGCCGUAGCCAACGCAUUAAGCAUCCCGCCUGGGAAGUACGGCCGCAAGGCUA